GACGAACGCUGGCGGCGUGCUUAACACAUGCAAGUCGAACGGAAAGGCCCUGCUUUUGUGGGGUGCUCGAGUGGCGAACGGGUGAGUAACACGUGAGUAACCUGCCCUUGACUUUGGGAUAACUUCAGGAAACUGGGGCUAAUACCGGAUAGGAGCUCCUGCUGCAUGGUGGGGGUUGGAAAGUUUCGGCGGUUGGGGAUGGACUCGCGGCUUAUCAGCUUGUUGGUGGGGUAGUGGCUUACCAAGGCUUUGACGGGUAGCCGGCCUGAGAGGGUGACCGGGCAGAGUGGCGAGGGGGUGCGGCCCAGGGGCAGGGGGGGGGCAGGAGGGGGGGAGAGGCGACGAGGGGGGGGAGCGUGGUGACGCAGGGGGGGUGGGGGGAUCGUGGCCCUGGGGUUGGAACCCGGGUCGGGGGGUGGAGAAGGGGGAGGGCGGGAGGGGAGUAACGAAGCACCGGCUAACGACGGGACAGAAGACGAGGUAAAAAGCGGAGUAGCACACGUCUGAAC
rnacentral:rRNA from 1 species